AACGCACAUUGCGCCCCUUGGUAUUCCAUGGGGCAUGCCUGUUCGAGCGUCAUCUACACCCUCAAGCUCUGCUUGGUGUUGGGCGUCUGUCCCCGCCUCCGCGCGCGGACUCGCCCCAAAUCCAUUGGCAGCGUCCCCUCGCCCCCCUCUCGCGCAGCACGAAUGCGCAUGACGAGGGAGCGGCUUUUGGGAUCGCGACCCACCCCCAAGAUGACCACCGUCUUUGACCUCGGAUCAGGUAGGGAUACCCGCUGAACUUAA
rnacentral:misc_RNA from 1 species